GACGAACGCUGGCGGCGUGCUUAACACAUGCAAGUCGAACGGAAAGGCCCUGCUUUUGUGGGGUGCUCGAGUGGCGAACGGGUGAGUAACACGUGAGUAACCUGCCCUUGACUUUGGGAUAACUUCAGGAAACUGGGGCUAAUACCGGAUAGGAGCUCCUGCUGCAUGGUGGGGGUUGGAAAGUUUCGGCGGUCGGGGAUGGACUCGCGGCUUAUCAGCUUGUUGGUGGGGUAGUGGCUUACCAAGGCUUUGACGGGUAGCCGGCCUGAGAGGGUGACCGGCCACAUGGGGACUGAGAUACGGCCCAGACUCCUACGGGAGGCAGCAGUGGGGAAUAUUGCACAAUGGGCGGAAGCCUGAUGCAGCAACGCCGCGUGCGGGAUGACGGCCUUCGGGUUGUAAACCGCUUUCGCCUGUGACGAAGCGUGAGUGACGGUAAUGGGUAAAGAAGCACCGGCUAACUACGUG
rnacentral:rRNA from 1 species